AGUCCUGGUUGGGGGAUGAGCAUGUGGUGACAUUUUAGUAGGAAACAAAAUGUCUGACUUGUGUAAGAGGGAAGGUGGCAAUGCUGACCAAUUCAUCUUAGCUUUUCAAGUUCUGGGUAUGGCCACCUAAGUCCCUUGCCAAAGGGUAUCUUAUACCCACAAUGCACCCUUAGCUGUGGAUUAGGCCAAAAUUGGCAAACCCACAGAGGUUAAUGGAGAAGCUUGAUAAAAUCAGCCUUUUCCUAAAGGAACAGUGUAGUCUGUCCCAACACAGUUGAGGUUACAAAAUCAUAUACUGCUGGGGACCAGAUGGCAGUGGACUUGGUUGAGCAUGUAUAUUACCAUGUACAAGGACCCAGGUUCAAGCCCUCAGUCCCCACUUGUGGGAGGGAGGGGAAGCUUCACGAAUGGUGAAGCAGUGCUGCAGGUGUCUCUCCUUCUCUAUCUCCCCUUCUCCUCUCAAUUUCUCUCUGUCCUAUCAAACAAAGAAUUAAUUGGUUAAUCAAAAAUAAAUUCUAAAAAUGUA